GGAGCAUAGCUGAGUGAGCAGAGCAUCUGCUUUGCAUGCAGAAGGUCGCAGGUUUGAUCCCUGGAGUCUCCA